GUGGCGAACGGGUGAGUAACACGUGAGCAACCUGCCCCUGACUCUGGGAUAAGCGCUGGAAACGGCGUCUAAUACUGGAUAUGUGACGUGAUCGCAUGGUCUGCGUCUGGAAAGAUUUUUCGGUUGGGGAUGGGCUCGCGGCCUAUCAGCUUGUUGGUGAGGUAAUGGCUCACCAAGGCGUCGACGGGUAGCCGGCCUGAGAGGGUGACCGGCCACACUGGGACUGAGACACGGCCCAGACUCCUACGGGAGGCAGCAGUGGGGAAUAUUGCACAAUGGGCGCAAGCCUGAUGCAGCAACGCCGCGUGAGGGAUGACGGCCUUCGGGUUGUAAACCUCUUUUAGCAGGGAAGAAGCGAAAGUGACGGUACCUGCAGAAAAAGCGCCGGCUAACUACGUGCCAGCAGCCGCGGUAAUACGUAGGGCGCAAGCGUUAUCCGGAAUUAUUGGGCGUAAAGAGCUCGUAGGCGGUUUGUCGCGUCUGCUGUGAAAUCCCGAGGCUCAACCUCGGGCCUGCAGUGGGUACGGGCAGACUAGAGUGCGGUAGGGGAGAUUGGAAUUCCUGGUGUAGCGGUGGAAUGCGCAGAUAUCAGGAGGAACACCGAUGGCGAAGGCAGAUCUCUGGGCCGUAACUGACGCUGAGGAGCGAAAGGGUGGGGAGCAAACAGGCUUAGAUACCCUGGUAGUCCACCCCGUAAACGUUGGGAACUAGUUGUGGGG
rnacentral:rRNA from 1 species